rnacentral:rRNA from 1 species
AUUGAACGCUGGCGGCAGGCCUAAUACAUGCAAGUCGAGCGGAAUGAUGAAGAAGCUUGCUUCUUCUGAUUUUAGCGGCGGACGGGUGAGUAACACGUGGGCAACCUACCUUGUAGAUUGGGAUAACUCCGGGAAACCGGGGCUAAUACCGAAUAAUCCAUUUUGCUUCAUGGCGAGAUGUUAAAAGGCGGCUUCGGCUGUCACUACGAGAUGGGCCCACGGCGCAUUAGCUAGUUGGUAGGGUAAUGGCCUACCAAGGCGACGAUGCGUAGCCGACCUGAGAGGGUGAUCGGCCACACUGGGACUGAGACACGGCCCAGACUCCUACGGGAGGCAGCAGUAGGGAAUCUUCCACAAUGGACGAAAGUCUGAUGGAGCAACGCCGCGUGAGUGAAGAAGGUUUUCGGAUCGUAAAACUCUGUUGUAAGGGAAGAACACGUACGAGAGUAACUGCUCGUACCUUGACGGUACCUUAUUAGAAAGCCACGGCUAACUACGUG